CAGUAGCCGCGGGAAUACGUAGGGUGCAAGCGUUGUCCGGAUUUAUUGGGCGUAAAGAGCUCGUAGGCGGUUUGUCGCGUCGAAUGUGAAAGCCCGGGGCUUAACCCCGGGUCUGCAUUCGAUACGGGCAGACUAGAGUUCGGUAGGGGAGACUGGAAUUCCUGGUGUAGCGGUGAAAUGCGCAGAUAUCAGGAGGAACACCGGUGGCGAAGGCGGGUCUCUGGGCCGAUACUGACGCUGAGGAGCGAAAGCGUGGGGAGCAAACAGGAUUAGAUACCCCGGUAGUCCCUGUCUCUUAUAC
rnacentral:rRNA from 1 species